GCUUCGUCCUUUUCAAAAUGUAAUCUGUAUUCAUCCAUUGUUGUGGAUGCGAUACACUGUGACAAGCAAAAUUUCAAUACGUUCAAUAUGUGUUAAGUAA